GCAGAUCAUCUGUUGUUAUGUUAUGAGAUGUAGCAGAUCAUCUCUGCUACAUGUCAUGUUUGACACACAACAACAGAUGAUCUGCUACAUCUCAUAACAUAACAACAGAUGGUCUGC
rnacentral:pre_miRNA from 1 species